GAUGAACGCUAGCGGCAGGCCUAAUACAUGCAAGUCGGACGGGAUCCGGGAGUAGCUUGCUACUUCCGGUGAGAGUGGCGCACGGGUGCGUAACGCGUGAGCAACCUGCCCAUAUCAGGGGGAUAGCCCGGAGAAAUCCGGAUUAACACCGCAUGACACGCCGGGACGGCAUCGUUCCGGCGUCAAAUAUUCAUAGGAUAUGGAUGGGCUCGCGUGACAUUAGCUAGUUGGUGGGGUAACGGCCCACCAAGGCGACGAUGUCUAGGGGCUCUGCGAGGAGAAGCCCCCACACUGGUACUGAGAGACGGACCAGACUCCUACGGGAGGCAGCAGUAAUGAAUAUUGGUCAAUGGGGGCAACCCUGAACCAGCCAUGCCGCGUGCAGGACGACUGCCCUAUGGGUCGUAAACUGCUUUUGCCGGGGAAUAAACCCCACUACGUGUAGUGGGUUGAACGUACCCGGAGAAUAAGGAUCGGCUAACUCCGUGCCAGCAGCCGCCGCCG
rnacentral:rRNA from 1 species